CGAAAGGGCGGCAGCUACACAUGCAGUCGAGCGAGAACUUCGGUUCUAGCGGCGGACGGGUUAGUAACGCGUGGGAACGUGCCCUUCACUACGGAAUAGUCCCGGGAAACUGGGUUUAAUACCGUAUACGCCCUUCGGGGGAAAGAAUUUCGGUGAAGGAUCGGCCCGCGUUAGAUUAGAUAGUUGGUGGGGUAACGGCCUACCAAGUCUACGAUCUAUAGCUGGUUUUAGAGGAUGAUCAGCAACACUGGGACUGAGACACGGCCCAGACUCCUACGGGAGGCAGCAGUGGGGAAUCUUAGACAAUGGGCGCAAGCCUGAUCUAGCCAUGCCGCGUGAGUGAUGAAGGCCUUAGGGUCGUAAAGCUCUUUCGCCAGGGAUGAUAAUGACAGUACCUGGUAAAGAAACCCCGGCUAACUCCGUGCCAGCAGCCGCGGUAAUACGGAGGGGGUUAGCGUUGUUCGGAAUUACUGGGCGUAAAGCGCGCGUAGGCGGAUUGGAAAGUUGGGGGUGAAAUCCCAGGGCUCAACCCUGGAACUGCCUCCAAAACUAUCAGUCUAGAGUUCGAGAGAGGUGAGUGGAACUCCGAGUGUAGAGGUGAAAUUCGUAGAUAUUCGGAAGAACACCAGUGGCGAAGGCGGCUCACUGGCUCGAUACUGA
rnacentral:rRNA from 1 species